GACCCCGCACAAGCGGCGGAGCAUGCGGCUUAAUUCGAUGAUACCCGUAGAACCUUACCUGGACUUGACAUAUAGGGUCAAGCUAUAGAGAUAUAGUGUGCAUUAGCGCCCUAUACAGGUGGUGCAUGGCUGUCGUCAGCUCGUGUCGUGAGAUGUUGGUUAAGUCCCGCAACGAGCGCAACCCCUGUCCUAUGUUGCCAGCAUUUAGUUGGGGACUCAUAGGAAACUGCCGGUGAUAAGCCGGAGGAAGGUGGGGAUGACGUCAAGUCCUCAUGGCCCUUACAGGCUGGGCUACACACGUGCUACAAUGGCGAUGACAGUGGGCAGCGACCCCGCAAGGGUGAGCU
rnacentral:rRNA from 1 species